GUCAAAAAUAACCUUUCUGGUUAUUAACAAUUUUACAACUGUAGAUAGUGGUGAAAGGAUCGAAUCCAUAGGGAAUUGAGAACUUACCUAUUUUCCUUAUCAAGACCAAGAGAAUUAACUGAAACAAAAAUAAACUGAAAGAGAAAUAAACUGAAACGAGAUAAACGCAAAGCAAAACAAACUGAAAGCGAAAUAAACUGAAAGAGAAAUAAACG
rnacentral:lncRNA from 1 species